rnacentral:rRNA from 1 species
GACGAACCGUGCGAACGUUGUUCGGAAUCACUGGGCUUAAAGGGAGCGUAGGCGGGCUAUCAAGUCUGGGGUGAAAUCCCGCGGCUCAACCGCGGAACUGCCUCAGAUACUGACGGCCUCGAGGGGGAUAGGGGGCAUGCGGAACUGUAGGUGGAGCGGUGAAAUGCGUUGAUAUCUACAGGAACUCCGGUGGCGAAAGCGGCGUGCUGGAUCCCUUCUGACGCUGAGGCUCGAAAGCUAGGGGAGCAAACGGG